UACGGAGGGUGCGAGCGUUAAUCGGAAUCACUGGGCGUAAAGGGCGCGUAGGCGGUUGGUUACGUCUGCCGUGAAAUCCCCGGGCUCAACCUGGGAAUGGCGGUGGAAACGGGCUGACUAGAGUAUGGGAGAGGGUGAUGGAAUUCCAGGUGUAGCGGUGAAAUGCGUAGAGAUCUGGAGGAACAUCAGUGGCGAAGGCGGUCACCUGGCCCAAUACUGACGCUGAGGCGCGAAAGCGUGGGGAGCAAACAGG
rnacentral:rRNA from 1 species